AAAACGACUCUCGGCAACGGAUAUCUCGGCUCUCGCAUCGAUGAAGAACGUAGCGAAAUGCGAUACUUGGUGUGAAUUGCAGAAUCCCGUGAACCAUCGAGUCUUUGAACGCAAGUUGCGCCCGAAGCCUUUUGGCCGAGGGCACGUCUGCCUGGGUGUCACGC
rnacentral:rRNA from 5 species